GACGAACGCUGGCGGCGUGCUUAACACAUGCAAGUCGAACGGAAAGGCCCUGCUUUUGUGGGGUGCUCGAGUGGCGAACGGGUGAGUAACACGUGAGUAACCUGCCCUUGACUUUGGGAUAACUUCAGGAAACUGGGGCUAAUACCGGAUAGGAGCUCCUGCUGCAUGGUGGGGGUUGGAAAGUUUCGGCGGUUGGGGAUGGACUCGCGGCUUAUCAGCUUGUUGGUGGGGUAGUGGCUUACCAAGGCUUUGACGGGUAGCCGGCCUGAGAGGGUGACCGGCCACAUUGGGACUGAGAGACGGCCCAGACUCCUACGGGAGGCAGCAGUGGGGAAUAGUGCACAAUGGGCGGAAGCCUGAUGCAGCAACGCCGCGUGCGGGAUGACGGCCUUCGGGGUGUAAACCGCUUUCGCCUGUGAUGAAGCGUGAGUGACGGUAAUGGGUAAAGAAGCACCGGCUAACUACG
rnacentral:rRNA from 1 species